rnacentral:rRNA from 1 species
CCCUUAGAUGUUCUGGGCUGCACGCGUGCUACAAUGGCGCUUGCAACAAGUCUUGCCAACCCGAUAGGGUGAGCGGAUCUUUGAAGAGGCGUCGUGAUCGGGACAGUUGAUUGCAAUUAUUCGACUCGAACGAGGAAUUCCUUGUAAUCGCGAUUCAUCAUAUCGCGCUGAAUACGUCCCUGCCCUUUGUACACACCGCCCGUCGCUCCUACCGAUUGAGCGAUCCGGUGAAUGUUUUGGACUGGCGUCAGAAGCAGUUCGCUCCUGACACUACGAAAUUUUGUAAACCUUAUCGCUUAGAGGAAGGAAAAGUCGUAACA